AUAAUCAGAGAGGAAUACAACAUCUUUGUUGUAGUACAUACAGUCCUUUAGUCAUUUCACACAUGGACGCGAUACUUAUAGAACAUGGACGCGAUACUUAUAGAUAUGGGGGACGUAUUUUCAUGUAACACUGGUUACGCUGACAGCUCCACUUCCUUUGUGAAAUGAAGGCGCAUCAGACUUAUCCACACACCGAUCUUUCUUAAUGACAACAGACAUGUUGUAGUCAGUUUAAAUGUGGGUAAAGGGAGUAAGAAUUGUCCGUAAUCACUAACGUCAACAUCAGAUCUCAAACACGAUACGUGUCCGUCUGUGAAAAACGUCCCCCUUUCGCCUGUCAGCUAUAACCCUGUUAGAUAAAAUCACAUCAGAGCGGCGGAAAUAAGGAAGCAUAGAGGACACAAGACUGAGAAGGCACCAUGACAUGGUUAAGCGUCGAUGGUCGGUUGUGGGAUCGCGUAGAGAAGACGUGACGCUACCUGCCCGUCGUUCUGAACACCGUUCUCGUGUUCUCCAUCACGGCGGAGGUACUGCUACACAUGUGAGACCCACACUCCCCCACAGUGCUCCCACUGCUAUGACAGUAAGGUGUGUGUUUUGAGACGAGACCACUACUGUGCCAGUGUGUGGGCUUCCGUAACUACCGCAACAUCCUCAGCUGUCUGCUGUUCAUGUGGACGGGGCUGCUGUAGUGGUGAACACAGGUCUUCAUCAUCAUCCUGGAGAAAGGAGUCACGCUGCACAGGAUCCUGCUACAACUCAUGCCCUGGAGCAUGCUCGUCUCUGGUUAGACUGGAAGGGAGAGAGGGGGAGGGUGUGUGUGUUCAGAGAGAGAGAGAGCAAGGGAGAGCCGAGCGAGUGAGAGGUGUGUAUGUGAGAGAGAGAGAAAGGGUAUGUGUAUCUGUAUGUGCAACCUGGUCUCAUAGUAUUUCGUAUUAUUCAGUACGUAAAUCCGUCACAUUCCAUUUAGUAUGAUAUGUUACGUUUCAUAUGGUAUGUAUUAAUUUGUGGAUGUACAACCCCAAUUUCAUAUGACAUGUUACGAAUUACAAUUUGUAUUAUAGUUUACGAAUGUACAAAGCAUUUAAUAUGUUACAAAUUUUCAAAUGUACUAUUUGUUACGAAUUUGCUGAAAGUAUGAAAUGUUACAAAUUUUAGCAAGGUGGCUAACAUUAGCUAGCUGGCUAACGUUAACUAGGUUAAGGUUAAGUUUAGGAGUUAGGUUAAAGGGUUAAGGUUAGGGUUACCAAACACGCUAAGUAGUUGCAAAGUAUCUAAAAAGUAGUAAGUAGUUGGAAAGUUGCUAAUUAGCUAAAAUGCUAAAGUUGUCCCUGAUGGGAUUCAUUAUACGCCCACCCAUACACCCUGACCAACCAGCUUCAUUUUGUGUUUGUCUUAAAGGAAAAUGCCACCCAAAAACUAUCUUUUCUUAUUUAUUUCAUUUGUCCAUUGUUGACAUAGAAGACAAAGCAUGAUGCAAUUGUGAGACUAAGUUAGCCUUUGUGUAUAUAUGCCUAGAAGUAUGCUUGGUAAUGCUUGUUAAUACUUGUAACUGAAGUUUUAUGCCUUGUGGGUAAAUCCAUGCAAUUUCUUAAGCAAAAAUGUUGCUAAGAAUGUCUGGGAGUGGUCAGAGUGGCAAGGGGAACAUGAAAAAUGAGCUGUUAUUAGCAGAGAUGUUUGGAACUCUUUGUUAUUGGUCUAUUAACUAAUUUAGGCCAAAACCACCACCUAAACCAAGUGAAUCCAGGUGAAAGCCAUGAUCCCUUAUUGAUGUCACUUGUUAAAUCCACUUCAAUCAGUUUAGGUGAAGGGGAGGAGACAGGUUAACGAAGGGUUUUUAAGCCUUUAGACAACUAAGACAUGGAUUGUGAAUGUGUGCCAUCGAAUGGGCAAGGCAAAAGAUUGAAGUGCCUUUGAACAGGGUAUGAUAGUAGGUGCCAGGCGCACUGGUUUGGGUCAAGAACUGCAACGCUGCUGUUUUGUUUUUUACAACUUGUAGAGGUGAGGGGAUGCAACUCAACAUUAGGAAGGUGUUCCAAAUGUUUGUUAUACUCAGUGUAUGUGAUGUGUUUGAGUUUCACUAUCCCUGAAUAAAUGUCAAACUAUU